rnacentral:rRNA from 1 species
GGCUUUAGGGCUAGCGUCGAUGUUAAGUCUCUUGGAGGUAGAGCACUGUUUGAUUGAGGGGUCCAUCCCGGAUUACCAAUAUCAGAUAAACUCCGAAUGCCAAUGAGAUAUAAUCGGCAGUCAGACUGCGAGUGCUAAGAUCCGUAGUCGAAAGGGAAACAGCCCAGACCACCAGCUAAGGUCCCAAAAUAUAUGUUAAGUGGAAAAGGAUGUGGGGUUGCACAGACAACUAGGAUGUUAGCUUAGAAGCAGCUAUUCAUUCAAAGAGUGCGUAAUAGCUCACUAGUCGAGUGACCCUGCGCCGAAAAUGUACCGGGGCUAAAACAUAUUACCGAAGCUGUGGAUACCUUUAUAGGUAUGGUAGGAGAGCGUUCUAUGUGUGAAGAAGGUGUACCGUGAGGAGCGCUGGAACGCAUAGAAGUGAGAAUGCCGGUAUGAGUAGCGAAAGACAGGUGAGAAUCCUGUCCACCGUAUGACUAAGGUUUCCAGGGGAAGGCUCGUCCUCCCUGGGUUAGUCGGGACCUAAGGAGAGACCGAAAGGUGUAUCCGAUGGACAACAGGUUGAUAUUCCUGUACUAGAGUAUAUAGUGAUGGAGGGACGCAGUAGGCUAACUAAAGCGUGCGAUUGGAAGUGCACGUCUAAGCAGUGAGGUGUGAUAUGAGUCAAAUGCUUAUAUCUUUAACAUUGAGCUGUGAUGGGGAGCGAAGUUAAGUAGCGAAGUUAGUGAUGUCACACUGCCAAGAAAAGCUUCUAGCGUUAAUUAUACUCUACCCGUACCGCAAACCGACACAGGUAGUCGAGGCGAGUAGCCUCAGGUGAGCGAGAGAACUCUCGUUAAGGAACUCGGCAAAAUGGCCCCGUAACUUCGGGAGAAGGGGCGCUGGCUUUAAGUCAGCCGCAGUGAAUAGGCCCAAGCAACUGUUUAUCAAAAACACAGCUCUCUGCUAAAUCGUAAGAUGAUGUAUAGGGGGUGACGCCUGCCCGGUGCUGGAAGGUUAAGAGGAGCGCUUAGCAUUAGCGAAGGUGUGAAUUGAAGCCCCAGUAAACGGCGGCCGUAACUAUAACGGUCCUAAGGUAGCGAAAUUCCUUGUCGGGUAAGUUCCGACCCGCACGAAAGGCGUAAUGAUUUGGGCACUGUCUCAACGAGAGACUCGGUGAAAUUUUAGUACCUGUGAAGAUGCAGGUUACCCGCGACAGGACGGAAAGACCCCAUGGAGCUUUACUGCAGUUUGAUAUUGAGUAUCUGUACCACAUGUACAGGAUAGGUAGGAGCCUAUGAAAUCGGGACGCUAGUUUCGGUGGAGGCGUUGUUGGGAUACUACCCUUGUGUUAUGGCUACUCUAACCUAGAUAGGUUAUCCCUAUCGGAGACAGUGUCUGACGGGCAGUUUGACUGGGGCGGUCGCCUCCUAAAAGGUAACGGAGGCGCCCAAAGGUUCCCUCAGAAUGGUUGGAAAUCAUUCGCAGAGUGUAAAGGUAUAAGGGAGCUUGACUGCGAGAGCUACAACUCGAGCAGGGACGAAAGUCGGGCUUAGUGAUCCGGUG